GUUCACAAGGAUGAGCGGAGCUUUAUAGAGAGAUGUUUUUAAAGUAAUACAUGACUGCAAGGGGGUGGGGAGCGGGAGGCAAACACGUUAUUGAAAACACCAAAUAAAAUAUAUAUCAAAAAUUCCAACUGUCAGCCAGCAGGUUGGAACAGAAAGAGAACCCCUUUGCCUUUGUCCUAGCGAUGCUGGGUUCAGGGCUGUGUCUGCAGGGCCGCAACCAAACUCCUUGAAUAACAAUUUCUACUCUGGGAGGCUUGGAGAAGAGAGCUGGACUACAAAAAUUCCCUGUUGCAUUCAGAAACCAAAGAACAGUGAAGCAGAUGGAGAGGGAAGACCUAGUGACCGAGGUGGAGGCCGAGGAGGGAGAGAGAGAGGAAGAAGAAAAUAUUCGGAUCCUAUUUACUUGCUCAGAUUGACCAAGAAUGGACAUCGUGAAUCACCUACAACUUGAUCUUGUGUGUAACUGACUGCACUGCGAUGCUAUUUUAAACUAACAGUUUCAUAAUUACGUGCAACUAGGUAAGUGAAAUCUCUUUAGUCGCAUGAAAUUCGGGAUUCUCCCUUUAAGAAACUGGUAAAAUUUUAAAUGACACAGAUUUUCCUCCUGGAAGACUUCACUUUUAACAUUCUCACACUUCUUGACUAAUGUCUUUGGAGUUAAGGAUGAUUGGUUGGUUUUUUCCUUAACAGUAUCUCAAAAUGUUCUAUUUCUCUCUCCCUCCCACCUCUGACCAGAUUGUCCUAAUUACUUGCUUUAAUGUAUUCAAUAAAAUUCGAAAGUAGUUACAGAAUAUCAGAGCAAGAGAGAGAGACAGGGAAAGGAAGAAAGAAGUUCAGAUUAAAAUGCCUUCUGCGUCGCCCAAAGGAUGAAAACACAUGAAAAAAGAAUUCAAACUUUUUUCUUUUGUAAAACUCAAGAUGAUCACGGAAUAAUCAACCCAUUAUUAGCUGUUUGAAAAUAUAGAAACCAUCAAUUGGUCUGAAUUGUUUUUACUCGAUGCACUGCCAUGGAAGAAACACUUUUAAAAAAAUCUUCGUGUAAUUUUUCUAAAUAAAGGCUGUAGGAAUGCUACUCACUUCACAAUAUCAUUAAGAAAAAAAAAUGUAAUGGUAAGAGAAGAAGAUAGCAACUUCGAAUGUUCAAACUGCGAUGCAGAGGUUCGGUUCCAAGCUGAUUUUUACAAAAUCAACAUUUUCAAGGAAAUUGAAAUCCUUUAAAAAAGAAAAGUAAUUGGCGCCUCAUUGCUUACUAUAUAGGACACUUAAAACAAUAAUAACCCUAUUGGCGACAAAUAUGCAAUAUUGAUAACAGGAACAGUUAGAAGAGUUAAAAACUUAAAAACUGAGUACAAACUUCUCAGCUAGCGGCGCUGCACUGGGACCGUGGAUCCACCAACAUAAAACCCUCUGCUAAGUCGAAAAUGCUCCGUAGCGAGACCAGUUUGAUUUUUUUUUCUUUCUCGGUCAUCUUCCCGCCUCGGACUAACCGAAUUCGAACAACUACCUCUUGUUAAUAAAAUUCUGGAGGUCAACUUUUUCUUCUCUUUUGCAUCUUCUUUU
ensembl:lncRNA